GUCAACAGAGAUAAUUCACAACUUAAAUGAACUCUGCGAAUUACCCACAAAGUAAAAGUCCCACCUCAUCAGGAAAUGGUAAGAAGACAUGGGACUGACUUUUUGGAGUAAAGUAGUGUUACACCUGCCUCCGCAUCUCAGUGGGUAUCUGGUACUAGGUAUGCUGUGUGGCUGAUGGUGGAAUCCUUUCCAAUCUUGUCCAUCUGUCCUGAGGAUGAGUCUCACAAAAAUAUCCCUGAGUAUGCACGGAUGUAAACCUUGAGACCUUGAGCUGUGGCACUGGACCCAAGACCACUUAUCUCAUGUAACCAUGGCAGAUGACAGCACGAAGAGAGAAUGGCUUGCUCCCUGGAACGGUAUACCUUCCUCUCAAACCAAUGUUGGUGGGCGUGUCUCAGUCACUGCUGCAGACAGGCGCUGUUGAACUACAUGAGGCAUGCCGUAGACCAGUGACUGUAACAACAGGGACAGCAUGGUAUGAUUUGAAAGUUUGGACUUCUGGGACACCUGGGUGGCUCAGUUGGUUAAGCGUCUGCCUUUAGCUCAGGUCAUGAUCCCAGGGUCCUGGGAUCGAGUCCUGCAUCGGGCUCCAUACUCAGCAGGGAGCCUGCUUCUCCCUCUGCCUACUGCUCCCCUGCUUGUGCUCUCUUUCUCCCUGACAAAUAAAUAAAAUCUUUGAAAAAAAAAAGUUUGGACU
rnacentral:lncRNA from 1 species